rnacentral:misc_RNA from 1 species
AGGUAAAAUCGAAUUGCAAUUGUUUAUAUUUACAAAAAUUAGUGAUCGGUAAUACCAAUGACUUAAAAAUGCAAUAUUAUUUGUUUAGUAUAAUUUAAAUCCAGCAGUGUUGUUACAAAGUGCAAAUAUAACGGGUAUACACAAAUAAGAGGCUUUCGUGAAAGAGACAACUUUCCUAAUAAAAAUGGCUAAAUUUAAAUUCGACAUCAAAUGCAUUUUUAGUCAACCCGUUGUACAAAUAUCAUCCAACUUGUUACCUCACACAUUUAUAGGUGAUAGAAGAAUGGCCAUGGAUGUUACUUCAAAAGUGUCUCAAAUUAUUGACCGGUUAGGUGAACUUUCAGCCGUAGCGCAGAAACUGUCCAAGCCUAUUACAUCAGCACAAAAGCUGCGAAUGUCUGAAAAUCAAACAGUCUAUCUUAUGGCAGAUAUCAACGGAUGUGAUGGAGAUGUCGUUAUAGGACUUUUGAAAAUUGGUACCAAAAAUUUAUAUCUUUUCGAUAGUUCGGGUCAGACGAGGAAAAUUGACAAAGCUCGUUGUAUAUUAGAUUUUUACAUUCACGAAUCGAGACAGCGUAUGGGAGUAGGAAAAAUACUGUUCGAUAUAAUGCUUACAGAGGAGCACUGGACUCCAGUUAAAUGUUCAGUUGACAGACCAUCCGAAAAGUUAAUACAAUUCUUAAAGAAAUACUAUGGCUUGGAAAAAAUUAUACCACAAGCAAAUAAAUUUGUUCUGUAUGAGGGAUUUUUCGACGAAGAUGAAGAUGAUGACGUAAACAGGGGUUAAAUGACUCUUAUGAGCUUCAAAGUCACACAAUUUCGCAGGCGCAAGGUGAUGCUUCCAAUACACAACAGCAGCAGUAUCAAGGCAAACAGCCGUACAAUUUAAAUUCCACUCAUGCUCAUCAUCCAACAUCGGUGCCAGUGCAACCAAAUCAACAAACAACAGAAAUUCUAUCACAGCAACAAGUUUCCAGCCAUCAACCCCAAACAAUUUCAGCACCUAUGCAGUGUAAAAAUCAGUUCAAAGAACCACAUUUAUCACAGCCACGAACUGAGGCGCGAAAUCAACAUGCUCAACAACAACAACAACCCAUACAAUCAUCUCCUGUACCUGCUCCAGA